AAAUCUUGUUCGACUUCUAGGAUGUUGCAGUAAAGGACAAAACAGAAUUCUUGUCUAUGAAUACAUGAAAAAUAAUAGUCUUGACAGGUACCUAUUUGGUAAAGAGAAGGGUUCUCUCAACUGGAAGCAAAGGUGUAACAUAAUUUUAGGAACGGCAAAAGGGUUGGCUUAUCUACAUGAGGAGUUUCAUGUUUGUAUCAUACAUAGAGAUAUAAAGACUAACAACAUCCUUUUAGAUGAUAAUCUACAGCCUAAAAUUGCUGAUUGUGGAUUGGCGAGGCUUUUGCCUAAGGAUAAAUCUCAUCUCAGUAUAAAAUUUGCAGGAACAUUGUAAGUCAACAUAAUAUGUUUAAUUUUCUAAACCUCUACUACUGUAUAUAAAUUAUUGAAGAUAAAAUCUAUGUACAAGUCAAUGGAACACUCCUAUCACUCCUCUAAAUAGUUUUAAUAUUUUUUUUAUUUUUUUCCUUUUCAUAUAACAUGAAUGGUUCAAGAAAUCAUUUGUAUUGAUGUGGUACAUGCUGCAUUCCUUUUAUGUUGCAUAUCUUCAUUUCAUACUCUCAUGGUUUCUUAAUAUUUGAAAAACAAUUGCUCAUAUAAAUGGCUUCUUAAUAUUUACGUGUUUGUGGUUUAGACUAUAUUCUGAUAAUUGUAAUUUAAUAUUGUGCAUUUGUCAGAGGAUACACAGCACUUGAAUAUUUUAUUCAUGGCCAAUUAUCAGAGAAGGCUGAUAUUUAUAGUUAUGGUGUUGUAGUCUUAGAAAUCAUUAGUGGUUGACAAAGUAAAGAAUUAACUAUCGAUGGUGAUGAUGAGGGUGAAUUCCUCCUUCAAAAGGCUUGGAAAUUAUAUGAGAGAGAUAUGCACCUAGAGUUGGUGGACAAAACCUUAAGCCCUCCUGACUAUAUUGAAGACGAAGUGAAGAAAAUGAUAGGGAUUGGUUUGCUUUGCACUCAAGCAUCUGCAGAAGGAAGGCCAAUGAUGUCUGAAGUAGUUGUUUUGCUCCAACAAAAGAAGGAUUUGUUAGAGAAUAGGAAGCCCACUCUGCCUAUUUUGAUUGAAACUAAUUAAAGGCAUAUGGAAAUACUUCCUCUAAUCACACACACACAUGAGGCAUUUUUUAAACCUUUUUUUUUUGUUCCCUUUUAUUAGUCACUUUAUAAGAUUGUUGGAGCAUUAUAUAUUUUUCGUUUA